rnacentral:rRNA from 1 species
UACAGAGGUCCCAAGCGUUGUUCGGAUUCAUUGGGCGUAAAGGGUGCGUAGGUGGCGCCGUAAGUCAGGUGUGAAAUUUCGGAGCUUAACUCCGAAACUGCAUUUGAUACUGCGGUGCUUGAGGACUGGAGAGGAGACUGGAAUUUACGGUGUAGCAGUGAAAUGCGUAGAUAUCGUAAGGAAGACCAGUGGCGAAGGCGGGUCUCUGGACAAUUCCUGACACUGAGGCACGAAGGCCAGGGGAGCAAACGGG